GACGAACGCUGGCGGCGUGCUUAACACAUGCAAGUCGAACGAAGAGCGACGGAAGCUUGCUUCUAUCAAUCUUAGUGGCGCACGGGUGAGUAACGCGUAAUCAACCUGCCCUUCAGAGGGGGACAACAGUUGGAAACGACUGCUAAUACCGCAUACGAUCUAAUCUCGGCAUCGAGGAUGGAUGAAAGGUGGCCUCUACAUGUAAGCUAUCACUGAAGGAGGGGAUUGCGUCUGAUUAGCUAGUUGGAGGGGUAACGGCCCACCAAGGCGAUGAUCAGUAGCCGGUCUGAGAGGAUGAACGGCCACAUUGGGACUGAGACACGGCCCAGACUCCUACGGGAGGCAGCAGUGGGGAAUCUUCCGCAAUGGACGAAAGUCUGACGGAGCAACGCCGCGUGAGUGAUGGCGGCCUUCGGGUUGUAAAGCUCUGUUAAUCGGGACGAAAGGCCUUCUUGCGAAUAGUGAGAAGGAUUGACGGUACCGGAAUAGAAAGCCACGGCUAACUACGUG
rnacentral:rRNA from 1 species